rnacentral:rRNA from 1 species
UCAAGUAAGUAAGGGCGUACGGCGGAUGCCUUGGCCAUAUCAGCCGAAGAAGGACGCGAUAAGCUGCGAUAAGCUGCGGUGAGGUGCAAGUAACCUUUGACCCGCAGAUCUCCGAAUGGGGAAACCCGGCAGCAGUAGUGCUGUCAUCCUCUAUGAGGAAGGGCACCCGGUGAACUGAAACAUCUAAGUAGCCGGAGGAAAAGGAAUCAACAGAGAUACCCCCUAGUAGCGGCGAGCGAACGGGGCAGAGCCCAAACCGGGAUGGGAAACCAAUCCGGGGUUGUGGACUGCUAUCAAAUGCAUGAGUGAAGCAGAAUGAGCUGGGAAGCUCAGCCAGAGAGAGUGAGAGCCUCGUAGGCGUAAGCGAAUGCAUGGAGCAGGAUCCGGAGUACCACGGGACACGAGAAACCCUGUGGGAAGCUGGGGGGACCACCCUCCAAGGCGAAACACUGAUAUGGACCGAUAGCGCAUAGUACCGUGAGGGAAAGGUGAAAAGAACCCCGGGAGGGGAAUGAAAGAGAACCUGAAACCGUAUGUCUACAAGCAGUCGAAGACCUUUAUAUGGUCGACGGCGUGCCUAUUGAAGAAUGAACCGGCGAGUUACUUCAGCUAGCGAGGUUAAGCAGGAAAUGCGGAGCCGCAGCGAAAGCGAGUCUGAACAGGGCGUAUAGUUAGUUGGAGUAGACCCGAAACCACAGUGAUCUACCCAUGUCCAGGUUGAAGCACAGGUAAAAAUGUGUGGAGGACCGAACCAGUGAGCGUUGAAAAGCUUUUGGAUGAGAUGUGGGUAGGGGUGAAAUUCCAAUCGAACGUGGAGAUAGCUGGUUCUCCCCGAAAUAGCUUUAGGGCUAGCCUCAUGGCGAGAGUACAGGCGGUAGAGCACUGAACGGGGUAGGGGCCUAUCCGGCUACUGAACCUAAUCAAACUGCGAAUGGCUGUACUUAUCCAUGGGAGUCAGACUGUGAGUAAUAAGGCCCAUAGUCAAGAGGGAAACAGCCCAGACCAACAGCUAAGGUCCCCAAUGCCGUACUAAGUGGCGAAGGAUGUGGAAUUUCGAAAACAACCAGGAUGUUGGCUCAGAAGCAGCCACCAUUAAAAGAGUGCGUAAUAGCUCACUGGUCGAGAGACUCUGCGCCGAAGAUGUCCGGGGCUAAAGUACGGAACCGAAGCUUUGGCAAUUGACGUAAGUCAAUUGGGUAGGGGAGCGUUCCUGCAUGGGAGAAGCCUGACCGGAAGGACAGGUGGACAGGCAGGAAGAGAGAAUGCCGGUAUGAGUAGCGAAAAGAAGGGUGAGAAUCCCUUCCACCGAAAGCCUAAGGGUUCCUGGGCAACGAUCGUCGUCCCAGGGUAAGUCGGGACCUAAUCCGAGGCGGAGACGCGUAGGAGAUGGACAACAGGUUGAAAUUCCUGUACUGGCUGAGGCCGUUUGAGCGAAGGAGUGACACAGGAAGGAAGGCGCGCGUGCGAUUGGAAGAGCACGUCCAAGCAGGUAGGUCGGGAGACAGGCAAAUCCGUUUCCCAUGAGGCCGAGAUGUGAUGGGGAGCUUCUGGAGACAGAAGCGAAGGGGCUGGCACUAAACUGUCGAGAAAAGCUUCUAGUGAGGACUCAGGCACCCGUACCGAAACCGACACAGGUAGGCAGGAUGAGAAUUCUAAGGUGCGCGGGAAAACCCUCGUUAAGGAACUCGGCAAAAUAUAUCCGUAACUUCGGGAAAAGGAUAACCCAGCGUACGUGAAGUGCAGAAGCGCAUGGAGCGGAGAUGGGUGGCAGAAGAGAGGCCCAAGCGACUGUUUACCACAAACACAGGCGUCUGCUAAAGCGAAAGCUGAUGUAUAGAUGCUGACACCUGCCCGGUGCUGGAAGGUUAAGAGGAAGUGUUAGCGCAAGCGAAGCAGUGAAUUGAAGCCCCAGUAAACGGCGGCCGUAACUAUAACGGUCCUAAGGUAGCGAAAUUCCUUGUCGGGUAAGUUCC